rnacentral:rRNA from 1 species
GGAAGUAAAAGUCGUAACAAGGUCUCCGUUGGUGAACCAGCGGAGGGAUCAUUACCGAGUUUACAACUCCCAAACCCCUGUGAACAUACCUAUCGUUGCCUCGGCGGUGCCCGCUCCGGCGGCCCGCCAGAGGACCCCCAAACUCUUGUUUUAUACAGUAUCUUCUGAGUAACACGAUUAAAUAAAUCAAAACUUUCAACAACGGAUCUCUUGGUUCUGGCAUCGAUGAAGAACGCAGCGAAAUGCGAUAAGUAAUGUGAAUUGCAGAAUUCAGUGAAUCAUCGAAUCUUUGAACGCACAUUGCGCCCGCCAGUAUUCUGGCGGGCAUGCCUGUUCGAGCGUCAUUUCAACCCUCAAGCCCCCGGGCUUGGUGUUGGGGAUCGGCGUGCCCUCGCGGCGCGCCGUCCCCUAAAUCUAGUGGCGGUCUCGCUGUAGCUUCCUCUGCGUAGUAGCAACACUCGCUCUGGAUCGCAGCGCGGCCACGCCGUUAAACCCCCCACUUCUGAAAGGUUGACCUCGGAUCAGGUAGGAAUACCCGCUGAACUUAAGCAUAUCAAUAAGCGGAGGA